rnacentral:rRNA from 1 species
GACGAACGCUGGCGGCGUGCUUAACACAUGCAAGUCGAACGGAAAGGCCCUGCUUGCCGGGUACUCGAGUGGCGAACGGGUGAGUAACACGUGGGUGAUCUGCCCUGCACUUCGGGAUAAGCCUGGGAAACUGGGUCUAAUACCGGAUAGGAGCCAUUUUUAGUGUGAUGGUUGGAUAGUUUUUUCGGUGUAGGAUGAGCUCGCGGCCUAUCAGCUUGUUGGUGGGGUAAUGGCCUACCAAGGCGGCGACGGGUAGCCGGCCUGAGAGGGUGGACGGCCACAUUGGGACUGAGAUACGGCCCAGACUCCUACGGGAGGCAGCAGUGGGGAAUAUUGCACAAUGGGCGGAAGCCUGAUGCAGCGACGCCGCGUGGGGGAUGACGGCCUUCGGGUUGUAAACUCCUUUCGCUAGGGACGAAGCUUUUGUGACGGUACCUAGAGAAGAAGCACCGGCUAACUACGUG